GUUAUUGCUUUCAAUGGAGGCUGGUCGAUUGACUCUAAUUCCGAACAGGAUGAAUUGUACAUUUGGGGAUUGGUCUUGUCCAAUCUGAAGUUUCCGGUUGUCCAAUACAUGGAGCGUCAUGUUAGUUCACACUUGCAUUAGCUGACAACAACUUUUGCUAUUCCUCCACCAUCUCAAACCUUUUCUUCCCGUGCUAAAGGUUUGUGAUUGUGGAUUUAAGAUCUAAUGUUUGCUGGGAGAACUUAUUUCCUCUUAAUAAAUAAAGACAGACUGUAUAACCAUUUGCUAUGUAUGGUCAAUAACCUUAAUGCGUCUUAGGCUGAAGUUGUUUUAUGACCAAAUACCUGAUUCCCAUCAGCCUCAGUUGUCUACCUGCAAUACAACAUGUUGCCCCGCUCUCCUUCCUGGUUGUAGUUCGAGUAUCAUGCUGCAGCGGUGGUCUGCCUGCGGAUGACAAAGGUAACCACAUGCAGGGUCUCUGUAGCCACUUCCCCGAAGUAAACACUGCAACUGAAACGAAGACUUUUCUCUCAUGUGAAGGGGCUUUUCCUCCACCUCCAGCAGCUACAACAUUAAAAUGCUGCUACACAUGAUCGUGCUUCAGCAAUAAAAUAUAAUGUACACAUUUAACAAAGACAGGGACACCUGUUGUUUUUAUACUUCAAGUUUGAUAAUGUUGAAUUUUGACUAAUAGCAAGACUUUUACUUGUAUUGGUGUAUUUUUACAUUGUUGAACUGCAUGCUAUCAUGGAUAUUACAUCACAAUGAGGGUUAAAAAUGUCUGGAAAAUAACCAUUUAUGCUUUUUCCUUCCCACUAUUUAUCCUAGAAAUUCAAUAACUAACUCCAUACAUAUUUUAAGUUUUGCAUUGAAAUCUGUUAAAGUGACUCGAGGUUUACGACCUAAACUGGGAUUCUCAUGUGCCUCGUUUUCCAUUUUCGUUUCAUCUGAAACCUCUGAAUCCUUAAUAAUCGAAUCAGUGACCAGUCAUUGCUUUAUUAUCCCCAGUCACUGCCCAUUUAAGCAAAGUUUAGGUUCAGUCUAUUGAGACUCAUGCUCAACAUCAGGAACAUGUAGAAUGUGUUAGAGUGUCAUGCAGCUCAAACCACCUGCUGCUUCUGUUCAUUUCCUCUGCUUCUGUUGUGGUUGACACGUCAUGAGAGCUCAUGCUGGUGACUAUACAGACAGGCUCGAGGUUAACACAACGCACGGUUGGGUUCUUGAAGGGUUCCAAGUAUAGCGCUAAACAGAAUAAACAGCGGAGACUGACAGACUGCUUCAAUGUAACGAUUCCAGCUGGCUUCUUAUCAGAAUCAGUCAAUUAUCAAACUGGUGCUCAUCAGAAAACACAGACUGAGGUGACGUCGUUGAGCAGGAGACACUAUGUCUGCUAAUUCCACAAGUGGAAGUGCGUGUUCAGGUCGGGCCCUGGACUUGCUUGUCUACGGCCUCAUAGGGACCCUGACCUUCACCGUCCUGGUGUUCACACUGCUGGGGAUCGUGUUUCUCAGAAAGUAAGGGAGGCUGAAAUGAUUUCACAAGGAAUUUACUGUGUCAUUUGUCCUCAGUGUCUUUUCAUUUGCCUGAUUUAAAGUUGCACUGGGCAAGAUUUUUAUAAAACAAAUAUGUUUUAUAAGCUGAAAACACAUUUUCAAGACUACUUCAACAAGUGCAGUUGCAUUUGAAUUUGUUUUUCUAGAUUGUGAAAACUAAAGUUUAUUCUAUUACCUGCUUCGGGUAAUGGGAAAACUUUAGUUUUCACAAUUAUAUACUUUUGUCAAAGCAGACUAACCUCAAAGCAACGUCCUAAUAAGCCGAGAUCAAAUACCUGCAAAUGGAACGCAGUCAUUAUUAAAGCUGUUUCUCACCAUUGUGAUGCGGAAAUACAGUGCGUGACUACGGAAAAUCUGAAUGCAAAUUUUGUCUAACAUUAACUACACAACACAUAAACCAAUGACACCGAGACUUUUAUCCUAACACUGUGACAAACACAAAACGUGCAAUUGCACAUCAGCUAUAUUACCAUCUUCAUCGUAUCCCAGCAGCUGGGUGAUCUCAAGCCAUAUAUUGUCCUUUAUUUAUUAUAAUUACCAAAUUAAUAAGCCAUUUUGGACGCAAGCCCUUUUGGUAGCAAGCUACCAGGAGCUAUACCUGGAGGUAUGUCAUCACUUGGAAAAAAUCAUUUUAUUUGUCAAACAUAUAUUUCCACAGGACUGUUCCACGGGCUGUGCAAACAUUCAUAAGAACCCCACACAAUCCGUUUUUAUAAAUCCUACUGUGAAAAUGGUCAACACCUUGAUUUUCUUUUACUUUUUUCCAAAAUAUUUGACGACUAGGAUUGCCAUAGAAUUUGGUAGCUACUGACAUUCGUGAUUCAGAUGAUGAUUAUUUGGUCAAUUCUUUUUGGCAAUCCCCCGACUCCCCUCACGAAACACCAGCAGGUUGAACGUUUCGGGUUUGAGUGAAUGAUCUCCACAAUUAUUGGAUGGAUUGCCAUGAAAUUUAGUACAGACAUUUUAUGUUUCCCUCAGAUUUAAUUGCAAUCACUUUGUCGAGCCACCAUCAGGUCAAAAUUGUAAUUUGUCCUGUACUGUGGUUUAUGACCAAACCUGCACGAAGAUGGACAGCAUGACAUUCCCAUCUGCCUCAGCUGUACUUUGAGUUUACUGCUAAUUAGCAUGCUAACACAGAAAAACGAGAUGGUAAAGAUAUUAGGCUAUAACCUGCUAAACAUCAGCAACUUAGCAUUGUCAAUGUGAGCAUAUUAGCAUGAUAAUAUUAACAUUACCACUGUUCUAUACAGCCCAACAGAGCUGCUAAUGGUGGAAUCAUUGGUGCUGGUUGGCCUGCUGGUUCUGCCAUUCUUUGGUGCUUUACUGGUUGCAGAGGAUGAGCACAACAGCAGGCCAUAUCUUGUUCUCUAUAAUAGUUUAGCCCUCUGGCAACAUUUCUCUCCAUCUCUAAUUGUUCUGCAACAGCUAAGCUUGGCCCUCAACAGAGCUGCUUUCAUGCCAUACUGCUGGAGGCCAGCAGCAGUGCUGGGUCGCUCCAACUCCAUCCUCACCGCUUCAACCGGCAGGAGAGCAGGCGGGAACGCCAAAGACGAGCUAGCUAACCAGCCAGGCGUCCUCUCCGGAGCUCCGGUCUGUUCUCCUCUGGGCGAAGUAGUCUGCCAGCGGGGUAGGGGGUCGGCUAUAUGGUCCUGUUCAUGAACGUAGACUUUCUCAAGUAACACAUGCGAGCCUGGAGAGAGUGACAUAUGUGUACAUAUUGAGAGAAGCUUGCAUUUUCUUCAGUCAUUGUAAAAAAAAAAAAAAAAAAAAAGCCAACAAAAAUUGUUCGCCAUCUUGUUCAGAGAAUCAUUCUGCCCCCCCUACACUCUGGUCUCUAUCUCUACGGAGCAAAUAGUUGUUUGCUGCAUUAAUGCUCUGAAUAUUUUGCUAAUCUUUAAGCCUCCAAGAGGAAAUAGUACCAUAGAAACAUUAUCUGAGUAAACUUUUGUUUCAUCAGGUAGAUUUUAUUUAUU